rnacentral:snRNA from 1 species
UUACUUACCUGGCAGGGGCGAUACCUUGGUCAUGAAGGAGGUUCACCCAGAGAGAGGCUCGGCCAUUGCACUACGGCUAUGCUCACCUUUGCAAAUUCCCCAAAUGUGGGAAUCUCGACUGUUAAUUUGAGGUAGUGGGGGACUGCGAACGCGCUUUCCCCUG